rnacentral:rRNA from 1 species
UAGGGAAUCUUCCACAAUGGACGCAAGUCUGAUGGAGCAACGCCGCGUGAGUGAAGAAGGUUUUCGGACCGUAAAGCUCUGUUGUUGGUGAAGAAGGAUAGAGGUAGUAACUGGCCUUUAUUUGACGGUAAUCAACCAGAAAGUCACGGCUAACUACGUGCCAGCAGCCGCGGUAAAUCGUAGGUGGCAAGCGUUGUCCGGAUUUAUUGGGCGUAAAGCGAGCGCAGGCGGAAGAAUAAGUCUGAUGUGAAAGCCCUCGGCUUAACCGAGGAAUUGCAUCGGAAACUGUUUUUCUUGAGUGCAGAAGAGGAGAGUAGAACUCCAUGUGUAGCGGUGGAAUGCGUAGAUAUAUGGAAGAAUACCAGUGGCGAAGGCGGCUCUCUGGUCUGCAACUGACGCUGAGGCUCGAAAGCAUGGGUAGCGAACAGGAUUAGAUACCCUGGUAGUCCAUGCCGUAAACGAUGAGUGCUAAGUGUUGGGAGGCUUCCGCCUCUCAGUGCUGCAGCUAACGCAUUAAGCACUCCGCCUGGGGGAGUACGACCGCAAGGUUGAAAC